UUGGUUUAAUGCGAUGCAAUGCGAAGAACCUUACUAGGGCUUCACAUGCACGUGAAAAG
rnacentral:rRNA from 1 species